rnacentral:rRNA from 1 species
GACGAACGCUGGCGGCGUGCUUAACACAUGCAAGUCGAACGGAAAGGCCCUGCUUUUGUGGGGUGCUCGAGUGGCGAACGGGUGAGUAACACGUGAGUAACCUGCCCUUGACUUUGGGAUAACUUCAGGAAACUGGGGCUAAUACCGGAUAGGAGCUCCUGCUACAUGGUGGGGGUUGGAAAGUUUCGGCGGUUGGGGAUGGACUCGCGGCUUAUCAGCUUGUUGGUGGGGUAGUGGCUUACCAAGGCUUUGACGGGUAGCCGGCCUGAGAGGGUGACCGGCCAAAUUGGGACUGAGAUACGGCCCAGACUCCUACGGGAGGCAGCAGUGGGGAAUAUUGCACAAUGGGCGGAAGCCUGAUGCAGCAACGCCGCGUGCGGGAUGACGGCCUUCGGGUUGUAAACCGCUUUCGCCUGUGACGAAGCGUGAGUGACGGUAAUGGGUAAAGAAGCACCGGCUAACUACGUG